UCCUUGGUGGCUCAGAGGUUAAAGCGUCUGCCUGCAAUGCAGAGACCCAGGUUCAAUCCCUGGGUUGGGAA
rfam:TPA: Bos taurus chromosome 29, whole genome shotgun sequence.